AGAGUUUGAUCCUGGCUCAGAGUGAACGCUGGCGGCAGGCCUAACACAUGCAAGUCGAGCGGCAGCGCGGGGCAACCUGGCGGCGAGCGGCGGACGGGUGAGGAAUACAUGGGAAUCUACCUUCUUGUGGGGGAUAACGUAGGGAAACUUACGCUAAUACCGCAUGAGACCGGAAGGUGAAAGCGGCGGACCGCAAGGCGUCGCGCGAGAAGAUGAGCCCAUGUCGGAUUAGCUAGUUGGUGAGGUAAAGGCCUACCAAGGCGACGAUCAGUAGCCGGCCUGAGAGGGUGAACGGCCACACUGGGACUGAGACACGGCCCAGACUCCUACGGGAGGCAGCAGUGGGGAAUCUUCCGCAAUGGACGAAAGUCUGACGGAGCAACGCCGCGUGUAUGAUGAAGGUCUUCGGAUUGUAAAGUAC
rnacentral:rRNA from 1 species